GACGAACGCUGGCGGCGCGCCUAACACAUGUAAGUCGAACGAGCGAGAGAGAGCUUGCUUUCUCGAGCGAGUGGCGAACGGGUGAGUAACGCGUGAGGAACCUGCCUCAAAGAGGGGGACAACAGUUGGAAACGACUGCUAAUACCGCAUAAGCCCACGACCCGGCAUCGGGUAGAGGGAAAAGGAGCAAUCCGCUUUGAGAUGGCCUCGCGUCCGAUUAGCUAGUUGGUGAGGUAACGGCCCACCAAGGCGACGAUCGGUAGCCGGACUGAGAGGUUGAACGGCCACAUUGGGACUGAGGCACGGCCCAGACUCCUACGGGAGGCAGCAGUGGGGAAUAUUGCACAAUGGGGGAAACCCUGAUGCAGCGACGCCGCGUGGAGGAAGAAGGUCUUCGGAUUGUAAACUCCUGUUGUUGAGGAAGAUAAUGACGGUACUCAACAAGGAAGUGACGGCUAACUACGUGCCAGCAGCCGCGGGUAAACGUANGUCANCAGCGUUGUCCGGAAUUUACUGGUGUAAAGGGAGCGCGGCGGGAAGACAGUUGGAAGUGAAAUCCAUGGGCUCCUUUAUGAACUGCUUUCAAACUGUUUUUCUUGAGUAGUGCAUAUGUAGGCGGAAUUCCCGGUGUAGCGGUGGAAUGCGUAGAUAUCGGGAGGAACACCAGUGGCGAAGGCGGCCUACUGGGCACCAACUGACGCUGAGGCUCGAAAGUGUGGGUAGCAAACAGGAUUAGAUACCCUGGUAGUCCACACUGUAAACGAUGAUUACUAGGUGUUGGAGGAUUGACCCCUUCAGUGCCGCAGUUAACACAAUAAGUAAUCCACCUGGGGAGUACGACCGCAAGGUUGAAACUCAAAGGAAUUGACGGGGGCCCGCACAAGCAGUGGAGUAUGUGGUUUAAUUCGACGCAACGCGAAGAACCUUACCAAGUCUUGACAUCCUGCGACGAACAUAGAAAUAUGUUUUUCCUUCGGGACGUAGAGACAGGUGGUGCAUGGUUGUCGUCAGCUCGUGUCGUGAGAUGUUGGGUUAAGUCCCGCAACGAGCGCAACCCUUAUGGUCAGUUACUACGCAAGAGGACUCUGGCCAGACUGCCGUUGACAAAACGGAGGAAGGUGGGGAUGACGUCAAAUCAUCAUGCCCUUUAUGACUUGGGCUACACACGUACUACAAUGGCGUUAAACAAAGAGAAGCAAGACCGCGAGGUGGAGCAAAACUCAGAAACAACGUCCCAGUUCGGACUGCAGGCUGCAACUCGCCUGCACGAAGUCGGAAUUGCUAGUAAUCGCAGAUCAGCAUGCUGCGGUGAAUACGUUCCCGGGGCCUU
rnacentral:rRNA from 1 species